rnacentral:rRNA from 1 species
GACGAACGCUGGCGGCGUGCUUAACACAUGCAAGUCGAGCGGUAAGGCCUUUCGGGGUACACGAGCGGCGAACGGGUGAGUAACACAUGGGUGAUCUGCCCUGCACUCUGGGAUAAGCCUGGGAAACUGGGUCUAAUACUGGAUAUGACCUCAGCAUGCUUGUGCUGGGGUGGAAAGCUUUUGUGGUGCAGGAUGGGCCCGCGGCCUAUCAGCUUGUUGGUGGGGUAAUGGCCUACCAAGGCGACGACGGGUAGCCGACCUGAGAGGGUGACCGGCCACACUGGGACUGAGACACGGCCCAGACUCCUACGGGAGGCAGCAGUGGGGAAUAUUGCACAAUGGGCGGAAGCCUGAUGCAGCGACGCCGCGUGAGGGAUGAAGGCCUUCGGGUUGUAAACCUCUUUCAGCAGGGACGAAGCGUGAGUGACGGUACCUGCAGAAGAAGCACCGGCUAACUACGUGCCAGCCGCCGCGGUAA